rnacentral:rRNA from 1 species
AUUGAACGCUGGCGGCAUGCCUUACACAUGCAAGUCGAACGGCAGCACGGGUGCUUGCACCUGGUGGCGAGUGGCGAACGGGUGAGUAAUACAUCGGAACAUGUCCUGUAGUGGGGGAUAGCCCGGCGAAAGCCGGAUUAAUACCGCAUACGAUCUACGGAUGAAAGCGGGGGACCUUCGGGCCUCGCGCUAUCGGGUUGGCCGAUGGCUGAUUAGCUAGUUGGUGGGGUAAAGGCCUACCAAGGCGACGAUCAGUAGCUGGUCUGAGAGGACGACCAGCCACGCUGGGACUGAGACACGGCCCAGACUCCUACGGGAGGCAGCAGUGGGGAAUUUUGGACAAUGGGCGAAAGCCUGAUCCAGCAAUGCCGCGUGUGUGAAGAAGGCCUUCGGGUUGUAAAGCACUUUUGUCCGGAAAGAAAUCCUUGGCCCUAAUACGGUCGGGGGAUGACGGUACCGGAAGAAUAAGCACCGGCUAACUACGUG